rnacentral:rRNA from 1 species
GAUGAACGCUGGCGGCGUGCCUAAUACAUGCCAGUCGAGCGAACAGACGAGGAGCUUGCUCCUCUGACGUUAGCGGCGGACGGGUGAGUAACACGUGGAUAACCUACCUAUAAGACUGGGAUAACUUCGGGAAACCGGGGCUAAUACCGGAUAAUAUAUUGAACCGCAUGGUUCAAUAGUGAAAGACGGUUUUGCUGUCACCUAUAGAUGGAUCCGCGCCGCAUUAGCUAGUUGGUAAGGUAACGGCUUACCAAGGCAACGAUGCGUAGCCGACCUGAGAGGGUGAUCGGCCACACUGGAACUGAGACACGGUCCAGACUCCUACGGGAGGCAGCAGUAGGGAAUCUUCCGCAAUGGGCGAAAGCCUGACGGAGCAACGCCGCGUGAGUGAUGAAGGUCUUCGGAUCGUAAAACUCUGUUAUUAGGGAAGAACAAAUGUGUAAGUAACUAUGCACGUCUUGACGGUACCUAAUCAGAAAGCCACGGCUAACUACGUG